rnacentral:rRNA from 1 species
GACGAACCGUACGAACGUUAUUCGGAAUCACUGGGCUUAAAGGGUGCGUAGGCGGCGCGACAAGUUGGGUGUGAAAUCCCACGGCUCACCCGUGGAACUGCUGGGUAUACUGGUCGUCUUGAGCCUUCUAGGGGCUGCCGGAACAAAUGGUGGAGCGGUGAAAUGCGUAGAUAUCAUUUGGAACGCCAAUGGUGAAAACAGGCAGCUGGGGAAGUGCUGACGCUGAGACACGAAAGCCAGGGGAGCGAACGGG